rnacentral:rRNA from 1 species
GAUGAACGCUGGCGGCGUGCCUAAUACAUGCAAGUCGAGCGAACAGACGAGGAGCUUGCUCCUCUGACGUUAGCGGCGGACGGGUGAGUAACACGUGGAUAACCUACCUAUAAGACUGGGAUCACUUCGGGAAACCGGAGCUAAUACCGGAUAAUAUAUUGAACCGCAUGGUUCAAUGGUGAAAGACGGUUUUGCUGUCACUUAUCGAUGGAUCCGCGCCGCAUUAGCUAGUUGGUAAGGUAACGGCUUACCAAGGCAACCAUGCGUAGCCGACCUGAGAGGGUGAUCGGCCACACUGGAACUGAGACACGGUCCAGACUCCUACGGGAGGCAGCAGUAGGGAAUCUUCCGCAAUGGGCGAAAGCUUGACGGAGCAACGCCGCGUGAGUGAUGAAGGUCUUCGGAUCGUAAAACUCUGUUAUGAGGGAAGAACAAAUGUGUAAGUAACUAUGCACGUCUUGACGGUACCGAAUCAGAAAGCCACGGCUAACUACGUG